rnacentral:rRNA from 1 species
ACACGGGGGGCGCAAGCGUUAUUCGGAAUUAUUGGGCGUAAAGGGCGCGUAGGCGGUCUUGUCGGUCAGAUGUGAAAGCCCAGGGCUCAACCCUGGACGUGCAUUUGAAACAGCAAGACUUGAGUACGGGAGAGGAAAGCGGAAUUCCUGGUGUAGAGGUGAAAUUCGUAGAUAUCAGGAGGAACACCGAUGGCGAAGGCAGCUUUCUGGACCGAAACUGACGCUGAUGCGCGAAGGCGUGGGUAGCGAACAGGAUUAGAAACCCGAGUAGUCC